GAUGAAGAACGUAGCGAAAUGCGAUAAGUAAUGUGAAUUGCAGAAUUCAGUGAAUCAUCGAAUCUUUGAACGCACAUUGCGCCCCUUGGUAUCCCGAGGGGCAUGCCUGUUCGAGCGUCAUUUCACCACUCAAGCCUGGCUUGGUGUUGGGCGACGUCCUCUUUGGGGACGCGCCUCGAAACGCUCGGCGGCGUGGCACCGGCUUUAAGCGUAGCAGAAUCUUUCGCUUUGGAAGUCGGGGCCCCGUCUGCCGGAAGACCUGCUCGCAAGGUUAACCUCGGAUCAGGCAGGGAUACCCGCUGAACUUAAGCAUAUCAAUAAGCGGAGGA
rnacentral:misc_RNA from 1 species